rnacentral:lncRNA from 1 species
AUGAGGCUUUUGACCUUUCUGUUGUUCCUACUCCUGGUGCCCUUGGUGUGGGGACCUGCACCAGGAUUGCUGCAUCCUGGCUGUAGAGCUGUGGGGGUGUGUAAAUCCUGCUCAGAACAUCAGGAUGCUGAAGCAGGGACGGCGUUUCCUUGGAUAUCAACAUAUGUGCCCAUGAGGAGCUGCCACAGAGUCUUGAAGGGCACGUAUGGGGAGUUUUCUCCUCCAGAAUAUCACAGUGUUUCCCAAUUCAACUUGUGGUGUAACUGGACGAUCCGGGCAGGCUUCAGGAAGCAUAUUGUAGUUUAUAUUCAAGGCUUUAUCACACAGGAGGAUUGCAGCAGAAAUAAAGACAAAAUCCUCUUUGAAGGAGUUUCUUCGUUGGUGGAAAACGAUGUAGUUUAUGCUUGCUGGAAGAAGGAGAUGCAUGUUUUUGCCACCUUUGCUCAGGCUGUGCAUGUUGUGUUGCUGAAGAGGUACUUGCCAAAUUGCAGAGACACCCAGUUUAAAGGCAGGUAUUACAUCUUCCAGUACCAGCAAUGCGAAUCUCCCUCCAGAGUUGCUUUGAUUCCUGAAACUCUCACUCCAAAGCCAUCUAAGCAAGACAGGGUUUUCCAGACUGGAUGGACAGACCACCAUGGAGGCUCUGCAACCUUGAUACCUAUGGGAAGCCCAGUAAAGCUUGUCCCAUCCCAAGGUGUAAGUACACAGUUGCUGGGCAUGCCAGCUGCCCGCACACAGGGCUCUGAGCCACAGACAGGGCCAAGGAUCUGUCAGGAAGAGGGAGGUGUAGCUCGGGAUGCCCAGUUGUUGAGCUGCACCGCCAGCAGAGGAAUUGCUCCAGGUUACACACAUGGGUUUUCAAGCACGCUUUUGAAAACACCUUUGUUUGGAGCCUUGCAGGUGGUGGAGUCUUCAUUGCAGCCCACGGGUGUGAGCUGGGAGAGUGGGCAGUCUGUACUGCACCCCACCCCAAGGCUGGAAGAUCUGAGAUACCUCCAGUUUACCAUUAAGCCAACACGCACGAGUCACAUGGACUUGGGUGCUGAUUCACAGGCUUCCUCUCCUGGCAGAAGAGGAAGCCAAGAGAGCAUCGGUACCACCGUGUCCCAGGGGCUGGGUUUAAGGAAGGAUGGAAGCCGUGCCCAGCUCAGCAUCCCAGCUGAUGGAGCAGCAGGCAGUGAUGCUGUUGACCUUGCAAGGGACCUAAUGCCCAGCCUGAGCAGCCACUAUUAUGAUGUGGUGAGUUUCUCGCAGCUGCUGCCUGAGAGAGAGCAAAGAAGUUUGGGGGCUUUACCUGUGACUCAGCCUGGGCUGGAAACAACCUACCUCCAGCACAUGGAGCUCAUGGAUCUCUUCCCCCUGGAGAGUUCCAGGGGUGGCAUUGAGGAGAAAGUGGUGCUGUGUCCCACAUCACCAUGGGCCAGCCUCCAGGAGCAUUCUCACUUGUGUGCCCAGAGCCAUCCUGUCCUGCAGGCCGUCUCUGUGCACCCUGGGAGCCUCCCCACAAGCACCCAAGCUUGCAGCUGUCUGACUGCUGAGGAAACUGAGAUGGCCUCACCGUUACCUCCUCCCCAUCCAUUGGCAGCCCCCAAAAUGGGUGCAGUUGUGUCUCCUGGCCACCUUGGCCCUUGGGUGAGAGAGGAUGCCCUGGAAGGAGGUGGCCACCAAUGGGAAACCCUGGCUCCUGUGAGUGAACCCUCUCCAACCUCCAUCCCAAGGCCUUGUGUGGGACCUCCUCAGGCCAAGGACCCCCUGAGUCAUGGCUCUGGGGUGACACCAGCUCUGCUGCUACCGGGCAUGGCUACUAGUGACAAAAUGAUUUCUGCCUUGCUCGCUGGGGCAGUUCAGAUGCAGAAAAGAGUGGGAAGUCUCCAGGUGGGUGUGGGAGAGCAGAGAAAUUCCUCCUUGUGCGCUGCCCACUCUGAUCCUCCAGCAGUCCAGAGGAGACAAACAGUGCCAAGAGUCCAGGAGGCUGCUGAGGGUCCAGUAUCCAGAGUCAUGGAGAUGCCAGGACAGCCACAGAAGCACACUGAGCUGGGACUGCCCUGGGUGAUGGAGUACUUCCCUGUUAGGAGCUGCCAUGCCAUCUUGCAGGAUAGGUUUGGGGUGUUCUACCUCCCUUUGUAUGGUGACAUCCAUACCAACAUCUGGUGCAACUGGACCAUUUGGGCAGGCCCCCAGAAGCACGUUGUCAUCUACAUUCAGGGGUUCCAGAGCAGUGAAGGCUGUGGUAAGAACCAGGACAAGAUCAUUUUCCAAGGGGUCCUUUCACGUGUGGAAACUAAGGUCGUGUAUGCCUGUCACAGCCAAGGUACGCUGAUCUUUGCUGCACAAGCCACUGCGGUCCACGUGCUACUGCUGUUAAGAAAUGACCCUCUAAGCAGCAAAUACAAACAUUUUGAAGGACGGUAUUAUGUAUUUGGAGACUAUGAAGCUGUGAGUUCUUCAAGUGGUGCUGUAGCUCCCCAGGAGCCCCUGCAGGAAACCUCUAAAGGAAAGAGCUGGAGGAAGGGGAUAACACAAGGUUUGCAGCCCCUGAUGAGGGCAUCCCUGAGCCCAUCUGCUCCAUCUACUGCAGGUAAGAUCCAGGCCGAGGUGGUCAGCUCAGAGGACAGGGAGGCGUUGGCCCUUGAUCUUGUGAAAGAUGCUUGGCUUGGUGCAGACCUGAGUGAGCAUGGUGAGCUGCAGGGUGAAACAGAGAUGGAAAGAAGCCUUACAUAUGGUGGCACUAAGGGGAGGGAACAUGAUGAAGAUGUGUUGGAGGCUCCAUCAGGAGGAGGUGCUGGGCCUGAAGCAGAGCUGCCUGCCUUGGAGGUUACAGAGGGGGAUGUAGAGCUGGUGCCUGCUCUGGUCAGCACAGCCUCACCCUACUCAGCUGAUGUCCCUGCCUCGGAGGUGAUGCCUCAGGGUGACAGAGGUGUGUCUUCUGGAGAUGUGCUGUCACCAGGACAGGAGCAUGAAGAUCUCUUUGAUCUGGCUUCAGUUCUGGCAUCUCUGAAGAAUGGUACAGCACUGCAGUCCCUGCACCACCCCGGAGAUGUGCUAUUUGAAGUAAGGACUGAAAUCAAACACAAGGACUGGAUCGCUCCUGGCGGCAGUGAGCUCAGAAGGGAUCUCCUAGAAUCUAUACGAAGCCAUAUCCAGCAGAACCUGAAACUCCCUGCCAACAGAGUCAACGAAAUCAAGUUGAAGGAAGCCAAGAGGACGAGCAAUGCCAGUCUGCUGCUCACCUACUGGCUCCACCUGAAGCCAGAGAUGAGAAAUACGUCCCUGCUGCUGCACUCCCAGCUGGGGGAGCUGCUCAGUGCUCCGGUGGGAGCAGGGAAGCUGCAACUCGUCUCUCUGCUGGUGGAAGAUGUGAAUGAGUGCAGCUCGGGGGUCAGCCUGUGUGGGGAGGAGGCAGAGUGCUUCAAUGGUGUGGGCACCUACCUGUGCCGCUGCAAGAAGGGCUACAAGGACCAUUCUCCCACCAAGUCUGGCACCCUGUGUGUCCGUAGUUCCCAGUCAGGGUUCGGCUUCCUGCUCCGCCAUGGUGACAUGCUGGUGGGGGCGGCCAUCAUGGCCAGCCUGGCAUUGCUGGUGGCUGCUGGCACCUUGUGCUGGGCAAAAUGGCAGAGACGACGUGCAGGCAGGGCCCUGGGGCCUGAGGAGCCACCAGAGCCAGCUGCAGAGGAGCCGCCAGUGAUGGAGCUGCGGGACUUGGGGGACUGCCUGCGUCUCGACCCCUUCCAGCUGAAGCUGCGGGCCAGGCCCCCUGAGUGGCUCUGGGGGGCUCGGGCACAUCAUGGCCAGGCCUACAGCGUCUUCCUGGAGCAGUCAGCCCCGCUGUAGGGCUGCCCUCAUUACCUGUGCGCUUAGUGCUGACUGUGCAGUCUCACCUUGCGUUUUAUGGACCACCACUGUCCCCCAGCCUCUCUCAUUUUUGUCACUUAUUGGUUUAUUUUAAAUGCUUGUUUCCCUUUGGAAUCAAAUGCUCUUUAUAUUCUCUUCCCCCUUUUCCUGCUUGAGAUUUGUGCAGAACUGUUGCCGUAUAAUAAUUAACACCUUUCUUUUAAAAAAUAAUGAAGGAAAAAAAUAAAUGUUUCAGUGCUUGAUUUGGGAAGUUAAAG